GCAAGUCGAGCGCGAAAGCACUUCGGUGUGAGUAGAGCGGCGGACGGGGGAGUAACGCGUAGGAAGCUACCUAGUAGUGUGGGACGACGCGGGGAAACUCGAGCUAAUACCGCAUAAGCCCUACGGGGGAAAGCGGGGGACCUUCGGGCCUCGUGCUUUUAGAUGAGCCUGCGUUGGAUUAGCUAGUUGGUGGGGUAAAGGCCUACCAAGGCGACGAUCCAUAGCUGGUCUGAGAGGAUGAUC
rnacentral:rRNA from 1 species